GCUGCAGCAAACCCCCUUCUCGCCUCUCUCCUGGGGGAUUUGUGUUCACGCACCUGAGGGCUAAGGAGGAGCUUCUGUGGGCGUUUUCUCCUUUCCAGCUUGAUUCUGUAGAACGCAGACACCCCUGUGGAGAAGGUCAGAUUCUCAGGGAGGGUUGGAACAUUGAUCCAAACAUUGCCAACUCAGUGCUGGGCUCGGAAAACACAAGGGAUUGAAAAGCCUCCUAGCUCAUCUUCCAGUCCAGGGCGGCUUUCCCUGGUUAAAUCUCAGAGCGCUGACAACAGUGGCCGCGGCCGGUCUCCCGGUUUCUACACCGGGCCCUGUCGGCAGCAGGGCAUUGCACCGCCCGGCACAGCACCUUCCCCAGCUCACAGCGCGGCGGGAAAGCGAGGAAGGGGGCCAGGGACGGGCCAA